rnacentral:rRNA from 1 species
CCAGACUCCUACGGGAGGCAGCAGUGGGGAAUAUUGCACAAUGGGGGAAACCCUGAUGCAGCGACGCCGCGUGAGUGAAGAAGUAUUUCGGUAUGUAAAGCUCUAUCAGCAGGGAAGAAAUAGCGACCUUUGGGUCGCCAGACGGUACCUGAUUAAGAAGCCCCGGCUAACUACGUGCCAGCAGCCGCGGUAAUACGUAGGGGGCAAGCGUUAUCCGGAUUUACUGGGUGUAAAGGGAGCGUAGACGGCAGCGCAAGUCUGAAGUGAAAUGCCGGGGCUUAACCCCGGAACUGCUUUGGAAACUGUAUAGCUUGAGUACUGGAGAGGCAGGCGGAAUUCCUAGUGUAGCGGUGAAAUGCGUAGAUAUUAGGAGGAACACCAGUGGCGAAGGCGGCUUACUGGACAGUAACUGACGUUGAGGCUCGAAAGCGUGGGGAGCAAACAGGAUUAGAUACCCGUGUACC